CCAAUUCACAAUAAAAGAGUGUGAGAACAAAAAGAGUAGGAGUGAAUGAAGUUGUAUAUAAUAAUGAGAUGGCUAUACAAAUAGCCGAAUUAACUAAACCAGUUAAGAUUCUUGCUUCAACUAAGAAUGUACAAAGCAAUGAGGUAUGCGGUAUAUGUGGUGUUUAUGGUCAUGGUGCUAAUGUUUGUUCGUCUUAUGAUACUUAU
rnacentral:lncRNA from 1 species